GUUUGCAGACCUGUAACAACUUGUGUACACACGUAAAAACACACAAGUUGUUAAAGGUCUGCAAACA